rnacentral:rRNA from 1 species
AUUGAACGCUGGCGGCAUGCUUUACACAUGCAAGUCGAACGGUAACAGGCCUUCGGGUGCUGACGAGUGGCGAACGGGUGAGUAAUGCAUCGGAACGUACCCAGAGGUGGGGGAUAACGCAGCGAAAGCUGUGCUAAUACCGCAUGUGGUCUGAGGAUGAAGGCGGGGGACCGAGCAGCAAUGUUUGGCCUCGCGCCUUUGGAGCGGCCGAUGUCGGAUUAGCUAGUUGGUGGGGUAAAGGCCUACCAAGGCGACGAUCCGUAGCUGGUCUGAGAGGACGACCAGCCACACUGGGACUGAGACACGGCCCAGACUCCUACGGGAGGCAGCAGUGGGGAAUUUUGGACAAUGGGCGCAAGCCUGAUCCAGCAAUGCCGCGUGCGGGAAGAAGGCCUUCGGGUUGUAAACCGCUUUUGGCAGGAACGAAACGGUGUCCGCUAAUACCGGGCGCUAAUGACGGUACCUGCAGAAUAAGCACCGGCUAACUACGUG